rnacentral:rRNA from 1 species
CACGUAGGGACCAAGCGUUGUCCGGAUUCAUUGGGCGUAAAGAGCUCGUAGGCGGUUCGAUAAGUCGGGUGUGAAACCUCCAGGCUCAACCUGGAGACGCCACCCGAUACUGUCGUGACUAGAGUCCAGUAGGGGAGCGUGGAAUUCCUGGUGUAGCGGUGAAAUGCGCAGAUAUCAGGAAGAACACCCGUGGCUAAGGCGGCUCUCUAGUACGGUACUGACGCUGAGACGCGAAAGCGUGGGGAGCGAACAGG